CAGAAUGCUCCGCUAUUUAUUUUGAUGGUAUUUUAUGAUGAAUUGAAAAUUUUGGUUUAUGAAGAUAAGCUAGAAUUUAUUGGUUUGGCUAUCAGUUUGUAAUUCAGUUUUUGCUGAUUUUUCAUAUUUUUGAAGUAUCGAUAUUACAAUUUGGUUCUGUUGAUCGACAAAGUUCAGAAUCAAUUGAUAAAUUUCAACACGAUAUCAGAAUGAUAACAAAUGAAGUCUAUUCCAUUUUAGUAGGAGAAGAAAAACUUUUUUCAAAGUAUUUACCUGAGUCGAUCAUUAAAGAAAUGAAUAAAAAAAUUAGCAACAUAGAUGA